UUCGACGAUUAAAUUCCGAUUAUACACCGAGUUAUCGUCCAAAUACUCUAAAAACACACACGCGAAUCACUAAUUAGUAUAGCAGGGUGCUGCUACGAUACAGGGUAUUAACUCGAUCGCUAUUACGAUUCAUUUUCCGACCGAUCAAUAUAUCCAAUGGAUGUUUAAGUGCCACCCACAUUAGGGUUAUACUUUGUCGUUCGUCGUUAAAUCGAUGGAUGUUUAAGUAUCGCACUUUGUCGUUCGUUGUGAGAAUUUGAUCUCGUGAGUUAUCGUAAUUCUUGUAUUAAGUUACCUACCUAGUUCGUGUGCACUAGGUUACAAGGCUAAAUCAAUAGGCUAAGUUCUGCCUGUAUAAAUCUGCAAUAUAUCAAGGCUUAUCUGUAGACUAAACUUUGGCCGUAUGAAUCUGCAUGAUUAUAAUGUAAUUACAGUAGAUUGGAGUAAGGAUUGGAUCCGGCACUAA
rnacentral:lncRNA from 1 species